UACGUAGGGGGCUAGCGUUGUCCGGAAUCAUUGGGCGUAAAGAGCGUGUAGGCGGUCCGGUAAGUCCGCUGUGAAAGUCGGGGGCUCAACCCUCGAAUGCCGGUGGAUACUGUCGGGCUAGAGUGCGGAAGAGGCGAGUGGAAUUCCUGGUGUAGCGGUGAAAUGCGUAGAGAUCGGGAGGAACACCUGUGGCGAAGGCGGCCGACUGGGCCGACCCUGACGCUGAGGCGCGAAGGCGUGGGGAGCGAACGGG
rnacentral:rRNA from 1 species